rnacentral:tRNA from 1 species
UGCGGGGUAGAGCAGUCCGGCAGCUCGUCAGGUUCAUACCCUGAAGGUCGCGAGUUCAAAUCUCGCCCCCGCUACCA